rnacentral:rRNA from 1 species
UACGUAGGGUGCAAGCGUUGUCCGGAAUUAUUGGGCGUAAAGAGCGUGUAGGCGGCCUGACAGGUCAGCUGUGAAAACUCGAGGCUUAACCUCGAGACGUCGGUUGAAACCAUCUGGCUAGAGUCCGGAAGGGGAGUGUGGAAUUCCCGGUGUAGCGGUGAAAUGCGCAGAUAUCGGGAAGAACACCCGUGGCGAAGGCGGCACUCUGGGACGGUACUGACGCUGAGACGCGAAAGCGUGGGGAGCGAACAGG